AGAAAUGACAUUAUUAUUUUAGAAAAAAAGAUAAGCUUCUUAGUUUAUUUUCUUAUGUUUGACAUUAUUUAAGCAAAAAGUAUUUAUCCUAACAGCUGAGAUGAAGAUCAUGAGGUGCGUCUCAUUUUAAUUAUACGUACAUUAAUAAAAAUAAAUGAAAUGAUAUAAGAAUAAAAUAAAUAAAUGAAGAUCCUAUAAUUAGCUAGCUGCAAUCGUGGCCUUAUGUUGUGAAUGCUCAUUGAUAUUACUGGAAGAAGAAAGACGAGCUGCAAUCUCUUUACGACCUGCAAAGUUUCUUUCUGUAAUUUGGCUCGUAAUAGUUGCUGUACGACCACUAGUACCUGGAUUGGGUGAAGGAGAACGAAUCGGAGUUUUCUGCAGUGAUGGUAACAAAAGGUAUUCAUGUUUUUUUUCCUUUAGAAUUCUUCCUGCUUCACUUGUUUGGCUCAUGCAAAUUGUGAAAAUAAGUACUUGUAAUAUUAUGAUUAUCAUACGAACAUCAUGAGAAGAAAAUAUGUUAAUUUGAGUUGUCAUCGUAUUUG
rnacentral:lncRNA from 1 species